AAACUUUCAACAACGGAUCUCUUGGCUCUGGCAUCGAUGAAGAACGCAGCGAAAUGCGAUAAGUAAUGUGAAUUGCAGAAUCCAGUGAAUCAUCGAAUCUUUGAACGCACAUUGCGCCCGCCAGUAUUCUGGCGGGCAUGCCUGUUCGAGCGUCAUUU
rnacentral:rRNA from 4 species